rnacentral:rRNA from 1 species
GACGAACGCUGGCGGCGUGCUUAACACAUGCAAGUCGAACGAAGUGGCGAACGGGUGAGUAAUAUAUAGCUAAUCUGCCCCUUGCUGGAGGACAACAGUUAGAAAUGACUGCUAAUACUCCAUAGCAAGGGAUGAGACUAUAUCGUAUCAGCUAGUCGGUGGGGUAACGGCCUACCGAGGCUAUGACGCGUAACUGGUCUGAGAGGAUGAUCAGUCACAUUGGAACUGAGACACGGUCCAAACUCCUACGGGAGGCAGCAGUAGGGAAUAUUGCGCAAUGGGGGAAACCCUGACGCAGCAACGCCGCGUGGAGGAUGACACUUUUCGGAGCGUAAACUCCUUUUGUUAGGGAAGCGGUACCUAACGAAUAAGCACCGGCUAACUCCGUGCCAGCAGCCGCGGUAAUUC